rnacentral:rRNA from 1 species
UACGUAGGGUCCGAGCGUUGUCCGGAAUUACUGGGCGUAAAGAGCUCGUAGGUGGUUUGUCGUGUUGUUCGUGAAAACUCACAGCUUAACUGUGGGCGUGCGGGCGAUACGGGCAGACUGGAGUACUGCAGGGGAGACUGGAAUUCCUGGUGUAGCGGUGGAAUGCGCAGAUAUCAGGAGGAACACCGGUGGCGAAGGCGGGUCUCUGGGCAGUAACUGACGCUGAGGAGCGAAAGCGUGGGGAGCAAACAGG